UGUGCCAGCAGCCGCGGUAAUACGUAUGUCACAAGCGUUAUCCGGAUUUAUUGGGCGUAAAGCGCGUCUAGGUGGUUAUGUAAGUCUGAUGUGAAAAUGCAGGGCUCAACUCUGUAUUGCGUUGGAAACUGUGUAACUAGAGUACUGGAGAGGUAAGCGGAACUACAAGUGUAGAGGUGAAAUUCGUAGAUAUUUGUAGGAAUGCCGAUGGGGAAGCCAGCUUACUGGACAGAUGCUGACGCUGAAGCGCGAAAGCGUGGGUAGCAAACA
rnacentral:rRNA from 1 species